rnacentral:rRNA from 1 species
AAAUUGAAGAGUUUGAUCAUGGCUCAGAUUGAACGCUGGCGGCAGGCCUAACACAUGCAAGUCGAACGGUAACAGGAAGCAGCUUGCUGUUUCGCUGACGAGUGGCGGACGGGUGAGUAAUGUCUGGGAAACUGCCUGAUGGAGGGGGAUAACUACUGGAAACGGUAGCUAAUACCG